rnacentral:lncRNA from 1 species
AAACUUGACGUACACACGCAGUCCUAUCCCUACGGUCCUGGAAUUGGGGGUUACUAUCUUGGAAUCUAGGGGCACUCCAGGCUCUGGGCUCAGACGGCUGGCUUCUGCCUACCCGAGCCUUAACCUUUCAAGGACCAGAAGGAUUCCAGAGCUCUUGCCCUAGGUCCUGGGGCAGCGAUGACUCACUGCAGCACCCCCUCCCACUUCGCCAAGCUGCCGUCUCCGCCCACCCCCAAACAAUCUCGACAGCGCAUUUCGGGAGCCACGGCUCCGGGCGCUUUGCUGGGGGCUAAAGGGGUUUAUCCCUUUCCUUGAAUCCCAGCAGGCUAGAACUACCCCCUCCCAGUCUUCAGGCUUGCCACGCUCUCCACCCGAUCCUUCCAUUGAAAGGCAGAGAAGGAAGGAUGUGCUUGGGAACUUUAAGACCCACGAACGACAGCGCACUGAUGGAGCAGCCCAGUGUCUGGGGCAAAGUCCUCGAGGUUCAUUCAUUCAGGAAGCCUCUGACCAGCCUUUACCAUGCGCUGAGUGAGAAGCUGAGGAUAAGGAAAGAGCAAGACCCCCAAGAAACCCUGAUGUCUGGCUGAAAGCCGAAGCAUGACGCAACUUUGCUAUAUUUCUCUCCAACAAGGAUUUGUAUAUUUUCGCUUUCUCCUCAAGUAACACCUGGACCUGCUCCUUUCCCUUCAAACGCUGAGGGCUCAGUCUCCAAGUUCCUUUAUGAAACAGGGUGUACCAUCAGAGACGCAGGUAUUUAUUGAAACCUGCUUUGUGCUGGGCAAUGUGCCAGAUGUUGGGGAUAAAAUGGAGACUUCAGAAAUGAAGAUGCAAAGACAACAGGGGAAACCAUAUAUGUUUAUGGACAGUCAUGCCAAAGUAUGAUUGGAAGACAAAAAGAUUUUUGGCCAAUUCACUGCUCACUAACAUCUCCAUCAAAGGGAAAAACACACAUUGUAAAAUAAGAAUUCUUCAAAGACAACUUGAAGACAUCUGGGAAUUCUGAAGCCUGAAAAUUCCAUGAGUUCAUAGCAGUGUUCACUAAUUCCACUGAUCUAAAGACAAAAAGGAGAGUCAACUGCGUGCCCAAACUCAUUUCUGAUGAUUUCUUCCAUCCUAACUUUUCUGCCUCUCUGGGGGUGGUUAUGCCUGUGAAAAACAUUGAAGCUGUCAGGAACAGAGUCGGCUUUCAAGAUUGGAAUGUCAAAGUAGAGUCUUCUUUUCCUCAGACCAGAAGGGGCUUGGUUGGGUAAGAGUUUCCAGAUCUAAAUGGAGACAGGACUGGGAUAUAGGAGCUUGUACGGAUAAACAACACAAACACCUUGGGUAAGUGAUACACCAAGAGAGAUCAAAAUAGGGUAGGAACACGAUCCUAAAGCUAUGUGAGAUACGAAGCCAAGAGACCCUGUCUACAGGCUGAUAUGUAUUGCAACCAGAGGCCACCUACACUCAAGAAAAUUCUAAAUGAUGUAAUAGGUUGUGGACACUUUCUUGUAAAAAUGAUCGAUAUUUUUUUCUUAUAGGGAUAAAGCUUAAAAGCAUGGGAUGUAUCUCCAUUAGGAAAUAUGAAGUGAGUUGGUAUAUUACAGGUAGGUUAGACUGAGAUAAUUAUAAAACUGGGCUGAUUUUACAUAGAGAAGAACUUGAUUCCUAAAGGUGUUGAAGGACAAGAUGGGGACAGUUAUUGAAGUGUUCAGGUGCUGUCCUUUGUAGUCUGUAGCCUAUUAAAAUAAUACACAACUGAACACAGACCCAAGGAAAGGGGUUCUACUCAUCGCUAGAAUGUAAACUCUAAGAAGAUAAGGAUUUUGUCUGCUUCAUUUAUUACUGUAUUCCCAGCUCCUAAAAGAGUGUCCAGCACUUAGUAUCUGUUGGUAAGUACCUGUUGAAUUAAUUAACCAGUGAUGAGACUUUGGAAAGCAGCUAGUCCAUCUGUAAGAUUGUUUUCUCAUCUGUGAGAUGAGUCAGUUAGAUUAGAUGUUUUCUAAGCUUAUUCUAGUUUUAAAAUUGUAUAUUUCUAUAAGAAAUGAUAAAUGAAAAAUGUCCAUUCCUUUUUCAUCUCCAUCACCCAUCUCACAUCUUCCUUCAGUGCCUAUGUGAUCUGUUUGAGUAUAACCAGGUGUACAAAAGUACUAAGUGAUAUGAGAUGACUUCAGUAGUCCAGGGACUCUUUCUUCCCCCACUCUGUAAAGAGUUAUUUGCUUAAUUUAAUGUACAUUAUAAAAACAGAAAAAAAAAAAAAAAAAAAAAAAAAAAAAAAA